UCUCUUUAAUGUCACACAUGCGCACUAGCCAGCACUAUCUUUUAAGGCCAGGAGGCUUUAUUGUUAGCCUAUUUAUAACAAAAACAAAACGUUAUUCACGUUGCUUAACGUAACGACUCAUUAUAAAUAUGCUGUUAAGUCCCCACAAACUAAUACUGAGCUCUUUUGGGCUGUUAAAGUCAAGUUUUGAUUUUAGCAAGUCUUUUUCUGUUUGAUUGAAUUAAAACGAACCCUGUAAACAUUGACAUAAAUCUGUCCAGAGCGUGAUUUGCGCACAACAACUAGGCCUACAACGUUUUGAAUAGUUUCAAAUAUUUCAUUCAUAAAUCCCCAGACCCCCUCCCCCUACUACACCAAUGAUGUCAUUUUUUUGCGACCACUCUCUGGAUUGUGGAUUUUACGGACUGCAUUCCCAUGUACUGGGUUUAGCUGGACCGUAUUGGACUGGAGGUGACAGGAUAUUUUGUACCUGCUUCGGACUGGUUCUGUCAUUAACCUACUGAGCUGGUGCUUCUGUCCCAGGCAUCUCCAUCGCAUCGCUCCUAGGCAUCUGAAAGUGUACCGUUGCGCACAGAUCAUGCUGGUAACGAGUUAUUCAAAGGGUCUACCAAUCAUGGCAAAAACAGAAAUCCAGCUCCUCAGCCCAGGCAGUGCCAACAACCCAGCUGAUCCAGGAGCUGCAGCGAGGGGUAGUGAUGACACUUCGGGCACCCCGACUGCCCUCUUCAACCAUUCCCAUGGAAUUCAUCCUGUCCAGCCUCCGUCAGAUAAUCCAGCCCUCCCCCUCCUACUUCCAGAGACUAAUUUGCAGGUUCUAAUGGGUAUGUGCUAAGGAGAUGAUGAGUGAACACGCUGCCAGUUUGGUUGCAGUGUGUCAACGAAUUCCAUAGAUUCAUCAUCACUAUGUGGGGUGGAAGCUGCACAGACUACAACAAGGCUUCUGGGACCCCACUCCCCUCAAGCAAGACAUUUACCACCUGCUUCACCUAUGAAGGACUGAUUAUUGGCAGUGAUACCACAACGCAUACAAGCUGUUCAGCCUGCUGCCCUCCGGGUAGAGGUACAGGAGUAUCUGCUUCCGCAACUCCAGACUCGCCAACAUCUUCAUCUACCAGACUGUCAUGCCGAAUUGUCCCUCCUCUCUCCCAUCCAAGGAUGCCGAAUUAUGACCAAGUGACUGAAGAACUGCCAUACGUCUUCACUUGGUCAUGGCAUGACCAGAGGCUGCAUGCAGACUCACAGUAUAAUUCUACACGAUCCACUAUAAGUAAUAUUUUAUUUCAGGUGGUUUGAAUAGCUGUGGAUACAUUAAUGAUGCCUGCCAACGAUUCUGAAUUGUGUACAGUCUGUAAUAUUUCUUCUUCAAGGGACCAGUCAAGUCGAUGUGACAGGUGAUUUUUAUACAAAACUUUGUCAAAAUUAACGUAAUUGACACAUCUGGUUGGUCCUUGUUUUGAAUUCUGAAUUGUCAAUAUACAAUAUGCCUUUAUCAGGUUUGAGCUUGGAGUUGAGUAUAUGUUAAAUGAAUAGAAUGUGUUUUUUGCUAGUCUUCACAUUAAACUUAGGCCGAACUGCCUUUACCUUUGGAUCGUCUGCGGUUCCCUGUUGGCCCACUACCACCUGCCCCGCAUGGUGCGCGACACCAGACACUGGAGCAGCUGGGUCGCCACUCAUCAACGCAGAGUGAAACAGUGCUUUGACCGCUCCCACAGGGUUAAAAGCCCCACACUUGCUCCACUGGACUGAUUGAGGAUCCGCAGGCCUACCCGGGGCCACAAGCUCAAGUCAUUCUGUUCUGCCCCACUGCAAGUGACUGAGCAGCUGGGUCGCGCCAUUUUCCGCCGUGUUCGCAAGGUGCCGCCGCCUACUGCAACAGACCUGGAGGCGACCGGCCCGUACAAGGGCCCAUCCGGGCCAUCUCAGGGACUAUGUACUCUGACAAUAUGAAUGAUGUUCCUGGGUCUCC